rnacentral:SRP_RNA from 1 species
GCCGGGCUCGGUGGCACGUGCCUGUAGUCCCAGCUACUCAGGAGGCUGAGGCUGGAAGGUCUCUUGAGCCCAGGAGUUCUGGGCUGCAGUGCGCUAUGCCGAUCGGGUGUCUGCACUAAGUUAGGCAUCAAUAUGGUGACCUCCCGGGAGCCGGGGACCACCAGGUUGUCUAAGGAGAGGUGAACCGGCCCAGGUCGGAAACGGAGCAGGUCAAAACUCCUGCGCUGAUCAGCACCUGUGAAGAGCCACUGCACUCCAGCCUGGGCAACACAGCGAGACCCUGUCUCU